ACUCCUACGGGAGGCAGCAGUGGGGAAUAUUGGACAAUGGGCGCAAGCCUGAUCCAGCCAUGCCGCGUGGGUGAAGAAGGCCUUCGGGUUGUAAAGCCCUUUUGUCCGGAAAGAAAAGCUUCGGGCUAAUACCCCGGGGUCCUGACGGUACCGGAAGAAUAAGCACCGGCUAACUUCGUGCCAGCAGCCGCGGUAAUACGAAGGGUGCAAGCGUUACU
rnacentral:rRNA from 1 species